GGCCAGAUAGUCUAGUGGUUAAGAGGUUCCCCUGGAGUUGGGAGGGCCUAGUUUUAAAUCCUGGUCCUACCA